GAUCCUGGCUCAGGAUGAACGCUAGCCACAGGCUUAACACAUGCAAGUCGAGGGGCAGCAUUUUAGUUUGCUUGCAAACUAAAGAUGGCGACCGGCGCACGGGUGAGUAACACGUAUCCAACCUGCCGAUAACUCAGGGAUAGCCUUUCGAAAGAAAGAUUAAUACCUGAUGGCAUAGGAUUAUCGCAUGAUGAUCCUAUUAAAGAAUUUCGGUUAUCGAUGGGGAUGCGUUCCA
rnacentral:rRNA from 1 species